UUUCUACUGAAGCUGAGAGUUUUGAGAGGCUAUUUCAGCGUAACCUUAACUAGUAGGUGAGCUCACGGGGCUCAAACCUGACGACGUUGCUAGCAUGAACCCUAGCAAGAGCCGUGCUUCGCAGAAUCUAUCACCGGAUCGGAAACGCGACCCCCUGAGAAGAUCCGGCGAGAAACUCAGUGGGCUGUGUCUGUGGGUUAAAGAGAAUCUCAAGAAGUCUACUACAUAUUUCGUUUCAUGAAGAGGGACUGUGAAAAUAUUAUAACAGGAUACGGGGCUUCAACGUGAUGCCGAUGAAUACGCAAAAGAGUUCAAAAAAAGCUACGUGCGUAAUUACUCGGUGGGUAACGUAAAUAUUUACAAAACACACGAUCGACUUUCGUAUAUUCGUUAAAAUUAUGCUGAUGGCUUUCCUGUGCUUAAAUUGACGAAUCUUUUUAGUCUUGAGUAUUUUAUGUGCGUUUUCAGUACAAUAUAUAUUAUUUAUGGUUUACUAGAUUUUUCGCGGGGCGUAGAACCGCGUGAUUUCGCCCGCGUUGGCAUAAAUAAUCUUAACAUUGUUUUUUGAAGAGUGUAAUAAUAAGAGUAUGACAUCAUCAUAGUUUCUAAAAUCGUUUUUCAUAAAAACGAAACAACCCCGUUUCGCUUCAAUAAAAUGUCACUUAUAAAAUGUCAUUAUCUUUGGAAGACCUUUUAAAGAAGUUCUUCUUCUUCUUCUUCUUAUCAGCCCAUGGACGUCCACUGCUGGACAUAGGCCUCCCCCAAACCUCGCCACAAAGACCGGUCCUGCACUGCUUGCAUCCAGCGGAUCCCUGCGAACCUCAAUAGAUCGUCGGCCCAUCUUGUGGGAGGCCUACCCACGCUACGUCUUCCAGUACGCGGUCGCUACUCAAGAACUUUCUGGCCCCAACGGCCAUCCGUUCUGCGAGCAAUGUGUCCUGCCCAGAAAGACGUUAAAGAAGUUAGUUCUCUGUAAUCAUAUUCCUUUGAAAAAGCGGCGCGACAUGAUAACCCUCUUAAUGUAGCCGCCUCUAAUGACAUAAUCGACCCAGACGACGGGACAACCUCUUCCUGAUCCAUUCUCGGUGCCUUUAGGCUCUCCAAGCACCGGUCGUCAUUCUCGCAAGAGUUCGACGUGCGAUCAAGCUCAUAGACAUGACCCGCUGAGUUUUUCGCCGGAUCUUCUCAAUGGGUCGCGAUUCCGAUUCUGUAGUAGAUUCAGCGAAGCACUACUGUUGCUAGGGCUAGUGUCAGCAGUUUCUCUCAGGUCCAGCCCGUGAGCUCAUCUACCCUUCUGAGCAUAGCUGGAACAGCCCUUUAAUAGCUUAAGAAAUAAUCAUAAAUCACAUAUAUUGGUAUAUUUGAGUAAGACCGUUUUCAAAGUCAAAGCAAUAGCGCUUACCAAAAGACAGUCUAUCUUAUGCUAUCCUGCGUUACUAAAUAUUGCCAAUCUCACCUGUCAGAAUGAACUUUUACAUGAAGUCCCGUGUAGCUUCAAAAAGAUGAAUAAGUUCAAGUUAUCGUCGUCCCAAUCAUCUAAAUUAUUUCAUUAUUAAAAUCAUAGCUUUAGUUUGAUGACUCGUGUUGAAUUAUAAUACUUUACUCAUAUAUAUGUGAAAAUAUCCAUAUAUUAAUACGUGAAGCAAAAACUUUGUAUCUCUUUUUACGAAAAUUGCGCGGACGGAGGAGUAUGAAACACUGCACACUUAAAGAGAAUAUAGAGAAGAAGUACACAAUGCUAAUAUUUUUUUUAAGUAAUGUAUAAAAGAUACAUUAAAUCAAUAAAGAAAACAUUACACACACUACAUUUGACGCACACAGGCAUGCAUACUAUUUAUUGUCAAACUUUUGUUCUUGACGUCUGUUGUCAAAUUGAGAAUAGAUUAAAUAUUGUUUGUCUUUGUUAAUAUUCUUUAUAGUGUAGUCUGGGCGAAAUUUGUGAUUAUAGAAGUAUAAAAUCCAAUCACAAUAGUAUACAAACUUACAAUUCCAAUUAGUUAUAGUCGAAUAUCGACUACUGCGGGACCUCUAGUAAUUAUUAAUUUGCUUAAGAUAAUAAACACAGACAUCUGUACGACUUUACUUUGCAUGACUUGACACGUGUCUCGUUGAUUUGCUUGGCUUGUUCAUUGUUGUUUGGUUUAAGCAAGAGGUUGCCAGGUUUUAUAAAGAAUAAUAAUUAAAUUAUGAACAGUCAAUCUUAUUAUUUGGUUUCACGAAAAUAACGUCGUCCAAAAUAACUCAUUAGCAUCGGGUUCAUGAACUCCUUAAUUUGGCGUCAAUUUGAGAAUUUGCAUAAGAUUUUUUUGCAUUAAUUAUAAUGCUUGCUACUUUGUAUAUCUUGUAUUUAUUAUUAGAUUGUGUUUUAAAUCUUAACCCAUUUUGUGCAAUAACGUAAUUUACAACAUAUUUUAAAUAAAGUUUUUUUUAUUGACCUUUUAGGUGGGCGUUCAGACAGCCCACCUUAUGGUGAGUGGUUACUGUCGCAAAACUGCAUUAGCAAUUGACGUCAUCAAUUGCAGGGGCAGACCCAAGCAUGCCUUUUUUUGGAACCUCUGGGUCUGCGGAGGGACUUCGGUUCCCUCUGUAUUUUGUACCGUAUGUUCUAUGGGGAGUGCUCUGAGGAAUUGUUCGAGAUGAUACCGGCAUCUCGUUUUUACAAUCGCACCGCCCGCCACCGGAGUAGAGUUCAUCCGUACUACCUGGAACCACUGCGAUCAUCCACAGUGCGUUUCCAGAGGUCUUUUUUGCCACGUACCAUCCGGCUAUGGAAUGAGCUCCCCUCUACGGUGUUUCCCGAGCGCUAUGACAUGUCCUUCUUCAAGCGAGGCUUGUGGAGAGUAUUAAGCGGUAGGCAGCGGCUUGGCUCUGCCCCUGGCAUUGCUGAAGUCCAUGGGCAACGGUAACCACUCACCAUCAGGUGGGCCGUAUGCUUGUCUGCCUACAAGGUCAAUAAAAGAAAAUAAAAAAAUGCCUUUGUUUUACCCCUUUUUGAUUACCGCAAAAUAUGCAUAACAAGUUGGUCAUUAGUUUUGUUAUUUUGCAUUAAGCUCCCUUUUAGAUUACUUUUGCAAAUAUUUUCUCUUUAUCAAACCAUAAUCAAAACUUCGAAUGUAAUUUAGCUAUUUCAUGCAAGUACUAGACGCCGUCUAUGGCAGACUCAUGACUUACGAUAUUAAGUUUGCAAAGUGAGCCACAUAGAAGUGACAAAUACUGAAGACACAGUUAAGGUAUAGUACCACACACUGAUGGUAGGACCUCUUGUGAGUCCGCACGGGUAGGUACCACCACCCUGCCUAUUUCUGCCGUGAAGCAGUAAUGCGUUUUGGUUUGAAGGCUGGAGCAGCCGUUGUAACUAUAGAACUUAGAACUCAUAUCUCAAGUGGCGGAAUGUACAUUUUAGACGUCUAUGGGCUCCGGUAACCACCUAACAGCAGUUGGGCUGUGAGCUCGUCCAAACAUUUAUGCAUAAAAAAAUGUUGCCAACUAUUUGAUUUUUUUUUUUUAACAAUUAAUUUUCGUUCUUAUGUUAUAAACAGGCAUUAAUCUAGCAAUACUGAACAGGCUGUCGGGUGCACGUGGCGACCUUGUAUUUCCAUUGUUUCGGCUAAACGCGUGCUUUCCGUCGCGUGUACCUUAUUUGUGAGUACGCAAUGCUUAUGUUGAAUUCGUACCGAGAAAGGAAGAGUCAAUAACAUUUGAAACUUUGUUUAUUUAUUUACUGAAGUGGUUUCGUGUGUGUAUUUUUAAUACUUUCCAUAUUACUUGCGUGCGAUUUAAACAUAAAGACGGGCUCAUCAUUAUUUAUAGCGUCAUCGUUGUCCUUGCCCUGGCUGGUUUUUUCUAGACUUUUAAGCUAAGUCCUUAUUUGCGUUAGAGUUCAUAAUAAAAUCUCAAUUACCUAGUAUAUUUAUAGGUGAAAAAAAACUUUAAAUAAAGAAGUGCCAUAUCAUUAACAACAUCGAUCGUAGAUUAGCAAUGUAUAAACUUUGAACAUAUCCGUAUACUAAUCCUUAUAUAUUUCAACAGCAACUUAUAUUAAUGACAUUUUGAAUAUAAAAACAUCUACACUUAUAGAAAUUCUAAUAUAUUUUAAAUUAACUCUUGCGAUCCAUAAUAUAUCUUUUUUAAUCACAAUUUUUAGACAUUUUCUAUUUUAUUUGAUACUAAGAUUAUAUUAGGUUUUUAAAGGUCAUCGACAUUAUUUAAUUAAUAGAAUUACAGUUUUAUCUCGUACAUGUUUAAGUUUCUAAUUUAAAUUUACUCAACAAAGUCGUUGGCACGUGUCUCCAUUAUAAGAAUAAUACUUAAAAAAAAUAAAAAAAUACGCUUUUAUACAAAACCCAACUGACAAGAAAAACAGAAAAUAAAUUUUAAGACAUUUGAUUUAAAAAUAGUGUAAGAAAAAAGAUGUGUGGCGUCGUGGGACACCGGAUAGGAACGAAGUUCCUUAUUAUAAAAAUAUUAAUUUUAAGUUCUAUUCGAGGUAUAAAGAAAAUAAUUAUUCGGUUAUACAUUUUUUAUUGUGAUUUUUUUAUUGAUAAAAAAAAGAAAACUACUUUACAAAGUUAUCAACUUUAUUUUAUUCACAAUGAUUUAUAAAAAAUAUAUAAUAAAAAUAUGUAAUUUUUUGUACGUUAUUACAAAGUUAAGCCGUAUACUGUGUGCAUUACUAAUAAAAAUCUUACGUUACGGACGUUUCUUCCCGGUUACCCUAACAGCCUACCCCUGCAUCGUCCCAUAAGGAACUUCGUUCCAAAAACAAUUUUAUUGUAAAAAAGCGUGGGGUGCUUUUCAGGAUUUUAUCAAAAUAACCUUUCUUUCAUAAAAUAUUUAUAACUACUGAUACCAUGCACCUCACGCUUUUUUUACAAUAAAAUCAUUUUUCUUACACUAUUUUUAAAUCAAAUUUAUUAAAAUUUAUUUUCUAUUUUUGUUUGGAUUUUCUAUAAAAGCGUAUUUUUAAGUUUUUUUAAACUAUUAUUUAUUUUUCAUCUUUAGCUGAAUUUCAAUUUUAUCAUAUUUAUUUUUUAAUAUUGAAUAAUCAUCAGUCCUUAAUAAGUAUGCCAAAUGCUACUAAUACCAAAUAAAAAUAAACAUAAGCAUGAAGCGAAAUAUAAAUGCAAAAUACUACAUACAUACUUAAACCAAAAUCUAAAACAUGAACUUACUGGUAGAUGUAAAUAAUUGGUAGUAAGUUUAGAGUACUUUAGAUAUCAGAUAGCGGCGCUAGAGAGUAAUUAUAUUCUUUGCAUCACGGACAUGACAGCUGUCGAUGCUACUGACGCAUAUUAUUACGAACAACUACGUAGUUUCGUGGUAAGAAUAACAUUCCAUUUCAUAAAUAACAAAAUCAAUAAUCGGUUAGGAUUAACUGAUAUGCUUUUUCGCGAUAACACCAUCAAUUGUUCUUACCUCUUACACUUUCUUGUUUCGCGAUAAGAAGUUUGGUUUUAUUUUCGUUUUCAACGACUUCUAUAUUCUGUAGUAGGAUGCCCUGAGUUUAAAUUGCAAGAGAUGACGAUAAGAAAACAACAAUUUAUUGAAGUGAAAACUUCUUUAGAAUCGUUGUGAUUUCAAACCGGAUGCAACGGAAAAAACGACAGGAAAGCUGCCCUUUUCAUACUAUAUGAUGUCUAUUCCGAGAAAAAUAAGGCGUGGGCGGUGUCAUGGUACGCCGAGGAUGAUAUUAAAUGAUGAUAACAAUGAAACUGGUGUAAUAGCUUUACGAACUGGAAAAUUCGAUCGUAAAACGUUAGGUUUUAGGGUUACGUACUCAAAUGGAAAAAUGAGAUCUGAACCUUUAUAAAUUAAAUUAUUUUCACGGCUCAAUGAAGAUGUAGCGUGUCCAAGGAUGUUUGCGUUCUUGUAUGCCUAUGUGAACUUUGCCUAUGAAUUUAUCUGUUCGUUCCUACUACGUGUAUUGCCUCAGAAAACUGCGUCACUUCACGAAAAACUUCAAGGAUGAAGGAAAAAAAUAUUAAAAUAAUAAAUAAAUGUAGUUUACACACGCUAAAAAUAAAUAACUCUUUAUUUAGCAAAUUGAACUAACAAUUAAUUUCCCCUUUUUAACGAUCCUGUUGAUACUAGUCAGAAUAUUAGAGGGAAAUCAUAAAAUAUUUUAUUAUCAUCGGUCCUUAAUUUAAUGUUGAAGUCUGUGAAAAUAACGUUAAAAGAUUUCGUUACAUACGUAUAGGAUGGGUAAGAACGGAACGUAUGAAAAGAGUGCGGAACGGAGCGUUGAGAUGUGAGUAAGAGAAAACGGAAAGAAAGGGAAAAGAGAAUGACAUACAGAACGACAGAGAAAAGAAAGAUGGCGAAGACGGUUAAAAUUAUGAUCAAGGCGUAAUAAUAAUUAAUUUUUAAUUAUUAUUAAUUAUUAAUAGUAAUUAUUUUUUAAUUAUUAUUAUUAAUAAUUAAUUUUUAAUUAUUAUUAUUACAGAAGCUUUUGGAACAGUGGAAUUUUUAUUUUAUGCGCUGCGAUCCUUAUUCUAUAUUUUUUUCUUUUUUAUUGUUUAGAUGGAUGGACGAGCUCACAGCCUACCUGGUAUUAAGUGAUUACUGGAGCUCAUAGACAUAUACAAUGCAAAUGCGCCACCCAUCUUGAGAUAUAAGUUCGAAGGUAUCCAGUACACUUACAACGGCUGCCCCACCCUUCAAACCGAAACGCAUUACUGCUUCACGGCAGAAAUAGGUAGGGUGGCAAAUAGGCAGACACACAAAUAAUCAUAUGUAUGCAUAUUUGCAUGUUGCUCUGUAUGCAUGCCAAGCAAAUUUAACGGUAAGCAGCGGCUUGGCUUUGCUCCUGGCAUUGCUGAAGUCCAUGGGCGACGAUAACCACUUACCAUCAGGUGGGCCGUAUGCUUGUCUGGCAACAAAGGCAAUAAAAAUAAAUAAAAACGUGUUAAAAUAAUCCCGCCUGUUUUACCCGCGAAGCAGUCAUUGUAUAAGUAAAUCGUUAUACAAUACUAUAUUUUUUUAGAGAUGAGUUUAUGAGGGAUUAGAGAUGAUGAUUGUGAUUUACUUUUCAUUUGUCAAGUUGUGUGGCUGUGUUUACGUUUAUUUUUAACUUACAUAAAGCAUCUCAGCCUGUCCACUGUCCACUGCUGAACAUAGGCCUCUCCAAGUGAUCUCCAGUGCGGCCGGUCCGUUGGCACCUGCAUCCAACGUGACCCAGCGGUUCUUACCAGGUCGUCGGUCCAUCUCGUAGGUGGCCGUCCUACAAUCAAAUCAAAGUCAAUCAAAGUAAUCAAAGUCAAUUCAAAGAAGAAUUUAAAUAUAAAUAAUAUAGAUGUACCAGUAAUGAUCAAAAGUGCAGUAUGUGUCUCGAACUGCUCUGGGGUAGACCGGUGAUAUAUAAAAUAAAAGAGUGGACUGUAUUAUUUGGUAAGUUUAUAAAAAGAGUAAAACAAGAUAAAAACAAGUAAGUGUCGCGGGCGGCGUUGCUGCACGAAGUGACGAAGCCGGUGUUAAUCCGCUACCCCGCGCGGCUGUCCUCCUCCCGGCGCCCGCGCCGCGCGAUCGUCGAUGUUCGUGCAUCGACAGUAUGCAACUACCCUAUUAGGAUAAUUUCUUGUGAAGGAUGGAAGGAAGGAUCAGAAACAUACACGCGAACAUAACCAUUUAGAACGAAUAUGAAAUUUCACAACGAUACCACACAAAAAACACCUGAUCUCCAGUAUAGUAUUUGUUUCACUAU